rnacentral:tRNA from 2 species
GGGCUCGUAGCUCAACUGGAUAGAGCAAGGACCUUCUAAGUCCGAGGUUGAGGGUUCAAGUCCUUCCGGGCCCGCCA